rnacentral:lncRNA from 1 species
GCUGUGAACCUUCUUAGAGGACUCGUUAGAAUCCUCCUUUCGCAUGAUAUGAAUGUAUGCAACUUUCAAAAACUUUCAUCCAUGACUGAUUUACAAGGUGCAGACUGAACUAUAGUUUCAUCUCAGCUUUUGUGUAAUGUCACAAAAAUUUUGUAAUGUGUUUGGACUUUCAUUAAGGCUAUCAAAUAAAGGGCCUUCAGCAGUAGUGGAACUUUCAGGCAAAACAAUUUGAAAAUCUUCUGAUCAG